UGCUGUAGUUAAUGAAGUCAACGUUGAUGAAUUUCAGUUCUUCUUUGAUUUCAUCGCUCACCAAGAAAUCUUCACAUCUUUUUAAGAUCAACGUUCCUUUUACCUUUGAAGGCUCUCGCUCCUUUUUACUUUUCUUUUCUUCUCCAACUUUUGCAUCAGAUCCAUCACAUUUUCUUUUUGUGCCGGAUCCUCCGCCAACUAGCUGACCAAAAAUAUCCAUGGGGAAUCGCUUCAAGUAAUCCAUUGUUGUAAGCUUUAAAUUCAAGUACGAAUGAGAGAGUGAGCCAGCACUACCCUUCAUAUAUAACAAAGUGCGGAAGAAGGGCUUGUAAAAUGGUAUAAGACCUCGCAACGACAGGCCAUCUUGAACAUAGAAGGUAGGUAGGACAGACAAACGAAGGCGGGACAAGGGCUCGAUAGUCGGUGACAAGGAAGACAGGCCACCUAUGACAUAAUGCGCGACAAUCGGUGACGAGAAGGCAGGGCAGGUCAGACAAAAAGUAGGGCGCGACAGUCAUUGACGAGAAGGCAAGGGCAGGUGAGGGCGCGACAGUCGGUAACCGAGGAAGAAGACGGGCCCACCUCUGACAUAAUCGAGCGCUACAAAUCGGUGACUAGAAGGCGGGACACCUCUGACAUAAUCGAGCUCGCGACAGUUAUUGACGAGAAGGCAGGACAGACCUCGGUGAUAAUCGCGACAGUCAUUGACGAGAAGGAAGGUAGACCUGAGAUAAUAAACGAGCGCGAUAGUCAUUGACGAGAAGGCGGGACCACCUGAGAUAAUUGAGAGCGCGAUAGUCAUUGACGAGGAAGACGGGACCCCACUAAAAAACUCGCGAGCAAAAUCUGACGAGGAAGACGGGUCAAUCGACAAAAAUUCGAGAGCUCAUUCAGUCCCUGCAGAGGUCGCGACCAAUCAAAAAGCCGAUAAAGUCGAUGACGUCACGUGAAUUUAGGUCUGAAGCCACCGAAAAAUGAAAACUCGGUUUUACUAUACUUCCAUGGAUGACUUUUGGACAUGAUAGGUGGCCUGAGAUUUAGACUGGCCUUAUUACUCCAGCUUUUAAAGGGAAUAAGAAAUGGAAUUCUAAGAAAGCCAGGCCAUGUCACCCGGCACCCAUGGAUUUAUAGUAAACCUCAGUUUUCAAUUUUUCGGUGGCCCAGACCCUCAUUACUAUGCGUGUGACGUCAUUUGUUUACCAAUCCCGGGCUUUUCAUUGGUCGCGUCCUCUGCACCGGUCGAUCGAGCUCGCGUUUUCGGUCGAUUUUGACGGUCUUCCUCGUCAAGUUUGUCUGAUUUUUGCGAGCUUUUUAUUUAGGGGGUGACUUUUCGUCUUCCUCGUCAAAGUUUUGGAGUUGUCUCGCGCGAUUAUCCGUCCGUCCUUCUUCUCAGACCUGUUCGCCCCCACGGAUUAUGGUAAAUCGGUCGAGUCCUCUGCGUCAGUCGAUCGAUCGAGCUCGCGGUCAAACACAAACGAGAACGUCGAACACCUAAAUCGCGCUCUCAAUUAAAAACAAAACGAGAACGACAAAUCACACAAAAAAGUAUAUAAUUUCACAUUU
rnacentral:sRNA from 1 species